GGGGUUGUAGCUCAGUGGUAGAGUGUGUGGUUAGCAUGCACAAGGUCCUGAGUUCAAUCCCU
rnacentral:tRNA from 1 species